AUCUCUCUGGAGUGUUUGCCAAUAGGUUUAUUCCCCUGAGCCGAUAAUCUUACCUUACGGAUUGUUUUUUGUGUGAUAUAGCGUGUAGGCCUAUCUCGUAAUAGGAAACCCAAAGGCAUACUCAGCAGUCCAACCUUGAACUUUAGGGUUCAAGGGUGCGACCUGUAGCGGCACUUUCGGAGAACUU
rnacentral:other from 1 species